rnacentral:lncRNA from 1 species
UCUACAACAAUAUUGAAUUUGCCAUGCUAUUUUAUUGAAAACUCUUUAAAAUCAUACCCAAAUAUUACAAUAUGAAAAUUUUCAAAAGAAAUGCCUUACUUGCUUGCAUAGUUUGUAAGCACUAUCUAGAAAAUUAACCAAGUGUUGUCUAUAUUACCCUGGAUAUACUUCUUCCUUUACUUGCUUAACUUCUUAGUUCAUUUCCCUUACUUUGAAGCUAACCUAUCUUAUCUGUUCUACCAGAUGAGUGGCUUGAGAUUCUUUUAGCAUACAUUUGUCCUUCUAGUAUUAUGCUUCCUUGGUUUUAAGUUCGAAUUGAUCUCGCUCUUCCUUUAGGAUUUGCAUGGGUUCACGUUGAUAAUAUAUUUGUUAUUUCAAGUCAUUAACUUGGCUUUGUAUCAACUUUUUCUUUAUCACGGACUGAAUAAGUUCUUUUUCCUUAAAAGGUUGCAAAGUUAUUCUAUAUUCUUUUGAAUUCUUCAAGCUCAAUGGUAAUUAAAAUGACAGAUUUAUACAUGCUUUCAUAUAUUUCUUCUUGUUUUUUUUCAAGCUUUCAAAAUUUUCUCCCAUUCUCUUUAGUUUUAUACUUUCACUCAUUAAUCUCAUGCUAAAGUCUUUUAUUUUUAAAGACUUAUAUUUCUUUCUAUUUCUCAAAUUUGUGUUUCUCAACUAUCAUUUCUUUAGGGACCCUUUCACUGUGGGUAUUUUCUUGAUGGCAUGGUUUUUCUUUUUUAGAAGUAACAUUGCUUUUGAUGCGUUGCCUCUUUUAUAUUAGAUAUUCAGGUAUGGCAUUGUCUAUAUACCUCCCACGAUAUACUUUUUGGGUUUGUUUCCAUUCUUUGAUAAUUCAUUUCACUUUCCUAAGAAAUUUUGGUUAUUUGAAAAAGAAUUCCAAUUCACAAAGCCCAUAAGUCAUCAAAAUGAAUUGCUCUGACCCCAACUGUCUACAAACCAUUGUUGAAGCAUAGUUUAUACCUCCCCACAAUCCUAAGAGUGAAACCCAUGGCUUAUCACCACAUUUGUACAACAUGACUUAUCGAGGCAUUUAUGAAACUUUUUCAUAUAACCUAAGCAUUGGUGAAAUUUUACAAGAUCAAUUUCCACUCCUCCUUAAGCUUUGAUUCUGGCAAAAAUCUUCGAUCAAUCUACUUUUAUUAUUGUAAGUAGGAUGAAAUUUGCCCAUAUGAUGCUAAAGAUAACUUCUUGUCCAAAUAUAAAAUAGUUGUGCACACUUUAUGAAGCGUUCUCUUCUUUUUUUAUUGUGAUUCAAUAAUUUAAAAGUUUCUACCAGUAUGGAUGAAACAGAAUUGAUUUGUUGUCUACUUGCUUGAGGAGGUCAAUUAUUGAUACCUCAAUAUGCCCUAAAACCUUAAGGAAAAUUAUCAAACUAUAAAUUGCCAAAGUUAACACAUGUCGCGUUCAUUUUCUAAGUGCUUGACAAUAUAAUCAUGCAAGAUUUCCUAUGGGAUGCAAUCACUUUUGCCUUUUGUUUGAAUAUAUGAAUUCACAUCCUGAAUGGAAAAUUCCAUCACGUAGGUAGAUUUCUUUCAGCAUCCAAGUUUUUUUAUCUCGCCAAUAGAUCUUACCUGGAUUAGGGAGAUGUAACCACAACAAUGUAGAAUAUUCUGUGAUUGUUAGGGUCAUAUCCAUCUCAUUAAACAUGAAACAUCUAUAAAUAGGGUCCAAAAACUGAACUAGAGCUCUUAUAAACAGGUUUUCCAUAGGUGCCUUAAAAAGUGAAGCAAUAUAACCAUAUUUUUCCUCGAAAGCUAUUUUCUUGAUUAUGGUUACACAGUGCCAAAUCUCAACCAACUCAGUGAUGUCAUUUUGUUAGAGCCUAUGUUGACUUCUUCAUGUAAACUUUCUUCUUUGAAUUCUUCCAACGAUCUCUUUUUCUACUUUGGGUUUCUUAGGAUAAAGUCACUACCUCAUUGAUAUCUUCAUACUUAUGAUGGUGUUUCAAAGCAAAACCAAAAUUCUUCUAACUAAUAUUAGUACGUUGACAAGCAUAUCCCAUAUGUAGAUGUUUAUUAUGAUGCACGAUGAUGAAACAAAAGGAAAACAAAACAAAUUAAUGUUAGUAAUUGAAUUAAAAUAAAUGUUUCUCAUGUGUCCUAAUUUAAGGGAUAAUCUAUAAAAAUGGUAUGGCUUUAUCUAAGGUUGGCUUCUUAAGGUUCAUUAUACCCAAAGCUUGGAAUUUAACAAAGGCUAAAAGGUUCUCAAAUUGAUCCUCACUGUCAUCCAUUAUGGAUUAGUAAGGCCCUCAAUCCUCACCCAUAACGAGCUGCACAUGAAAAUGAUUCAAUUUGAUUGUAAAUAUUUCACUAGCCCAACUCUUUCACAAAGGAACAGAUUUAGGAGUUUAGGUAUAGAACUCAUUCAUGAAUAUAAAUGUAUACACAUAUGAGGGAAUGUGAGAAUCAUUAAUCAAAAUAAAAUCUUCAAUCUAAACAUUUCACAAUUUAUUAUCAAUAAUAUAAAUCAAAUAAAUCAAAUAACAUAAGUAAUAGUAAAAAUAAAUAAAAUCAUUAACUUUGGUUUUAAAAUUUUAAAAUUUAUUUAAUUUUUUAUAAAUAAUGGAAAUUAAAACUAAAUAUCAAAAAAACCAUAAAAUCAAAGUUUUGAUAACACAUGCUUAAUUGUUGGCUUGACUCUCAUGCAUUCCUAAUGGAGUCACUAAGCUAUCAUAACGAUUUUUCAUCUAAGAGACUCAAUCUUUAGACUUGUAGAAAAUUUAUCGGAGUCACCACUAAUUUUUUUUAACUAGGAACGAUUGGUCACCUAAAAUAUCUUCUAAUAAAAAUCUUAAGAUUAAUUUUGAUGACAUGGUCUUUUUCG